GUAAGACCCCUCAAAGAAGAUGAGGUUGAUAGGUUCGGGGUGGAAGCGCGGCGACGUGUGGAGCUGACGAAUACUAAUCGGUCGAGGACUUAACCAA
rnacentral:rRNA from 1 species